rnacentral:rRNA from 1 species
CCUACGGGAGGCAGCAGUGAGGAAUAUUGGUCAAUGGGCGGGAGCCUGAACCAGCCAAGCCGCGUGAAGGAAGAAGGCGCCAAGCGUCGUAAACUUCUUUUGUCGGGGAACAAAGGGCGCCACGUGUGGCGUUGUGAGUGUACCCGAAGAAAAAGCAUCGGCUAACUCCGUGCCAGCAGCCGCGGUAAUACGGAGGAUGCGAGCGUUAUCCGGAUUUAUUGGGUGUAAAGGGUGCGUAGACGGGAAUACAAGUUGGUUGUGAAAGCCCUCGGCUUAACUGAGGAACUGCAACCAAAACUAUAUUU